ACACGUGGGCAACCUGCCUGUAAGACUGGGAUAACUUCGGGAAACCGAAGCUAAUACCGGAUAGGAUCUUCUCCUUCAUGGGAGAUGAUUGAAAGAUGGUUUCGGCUAUCACUAACAGAAGGGCCCGCGGUGCAUUAGCUAGUUGGUGAGGUAACGGCUCACCAAGGCAACGAUGCAUAGCCGACCUGAGAGGGUGAUCGGCCACACUGGGACUGAGACACGGCCCAGACUCCUACGGGAGGCAGCAGUAGGGAAUCUUCCGCAAUGGACGAAAGUCUGACGGAGCAACGCCGCGUGAGUGAUGAAGGCUUUCGGGUCGUAAAACUCUGUUGUUAGGGAAGAACAAGUACUAGAGUAACUGCUCGUACCUUGACGGUACCUAACCAGAAAGCCACGGCUAACUACGUGCCAGCAGCCGCGGUAAUACGUAGGUGGCAAGCGUUAUCCGGAAUUAUUGGGCGUAAAGCGCGCGCAGGCGGUUUCUUAAGUCUGAUGUGAAAGCCCACGGCUCAACCGUGGAGGGUCAUUGGAAACUGGGGAACUUGAGUGCAGAAGAGAAAAGCGGAAUUCCACGUGUAGCGGUGAAAUGCGUAGAGAUGUGGAGGAACACCAGUGGCGAAGGCGGCUUUUUGGUCUGUAACUGACGCUGAGGCGCGAAAGCGUGGGGGAGCAAACAGGAUUAGAUACCCUGGUAGUCCACGCCCGUAAACGAUGAGUGCUA
rnacentral:rRNA from 2 species